AGACACUGGGCUGGUUUUACUGGUCUCCCCACACUGUACAGAAAGCCAGGCCUCUCCUUGCACAGCUGGUUUCCUUGGUGGUGUGAGUCACUUCUGUUAUGUUGCUCCGUUCAUCCAUAUUAUGUAGGUUUUUACUAGCUGCCUUCUCAGAGUAUGUCCUGGCCUCCCAUAACAGAGAUCCCAGGCUGGAGACAGUUUCUUCACCCAUCCUCCUUCCUCAAUCUUCUCAGCUGGUUCCCUUUGGCCUGACUCAGAGACUGACCUCGAGUGACCUCACUCAUCUUGUCCACAGGGACCCCGGAUGUUCUUAGAGCCACAGACUCUUAGGGCUGGAAGGAAGUUUGAAUCCAACUUCUCUGUGUUGUAGAGGAGCAAGCUGAGGUGCGGAGAGGAGAGGAUUUACUGCCUGACGUCACGUCUGCCAGAUUGGCUGUUCAGAUCUGACACUCGGUUCCACGGCGAGAGAAACUUUUUAAAGACUUUGCAGCCGGGGCUGCCGCUGAGCGUCCCGCGCGCUCACACCGCCCUCGCCCACUCUCGCCGGGUCCCGGGCGGGCACCCCCUGAGCCCGCGGCUGGGCGAGCCGACCCUCACCUUGCGCGGCCCGCGCC
ensembl:lncRNA